GUGCUUGCUUCAGCAGCACAUAUACUAAAAUUGGAAAGAUACAGAGAAGAUUAGCAUGGCCCCUGUGCAAAUGUUGAAAUCUUAACUCCUAACAUAAUGAUAUU